GACGAACGCUGGCGGCGUGCCUAACACAUGCAAGUCGAGCGAGGAACUUCGGUUCCUAGCGGCGGACGGGUGAGUAACACGUGGGUAACCUGGCUCAUAGAGGGGGAUAGCCUUCCGAAAGGGAGAUUAAUACCGCAUAAGAAGUGAGAAUCGCAUGGUUCAAGCUUUAAAGGAGUAAUCCGCUAUGAGAUGGGCCCGCGGCGCAUUAGCUAGUUGGUGAGGUAACGGCUCACCAAGGCGACGAUGCGUAGCCGACCUGAGAGGGUGAUCGGCCACAUUGGAACUGAGACACGGUCCAGACUCCUACGGGAGGCAGCAGUGGGGAAUAUUGCACAAUGGGCGAAAGCCUGAUGCAGCAACGCCGCGUGAGUGAUGACGGCCUUCGGGUUGUAAAGCUCUGUCUUUGGGGACGAUAAUGACGGUACCCAAGGAGGAAGCCACGGCUAACUACGUGCCAGCCGCCGCCGUAACAC
rnacentral:rRNA from 1 species